rnacentral:tRNA from 1 species
UGCAUCGGCCGGGAAUCGAACCCGGGCCCCCCGCGUGGCAGGCGAGCAUUCUACCACUAAGCCACCGAUGC